AGCGAACGUUUGCGGCGGGCUUAACACAUGCAAGUCGAACGAGAAUCCCUUCGGGGAGGAAAGUGGCGCACGGGUGCGUAACACGUGGAUAACCAACCCAUUGGUUUGGGACAACACCGGGAAACUGGUGCUAAUACCAGAUGUGUCGCAGCUGUCUUCAGGCGGUUGCGAGAAAGGCCCGCAAGGGUCGCCAACGGACGGGUCCGCGUCCCAUCAGCUAGUUGGUGAGGUAAUGGCUCACCAAGGCAAAGACGGGUAGCUGGUCUGAGAGGAUGAUCAGCCACACUGGAACUGAGACACGGUCCAGACUCCUACGGGAGGCAGCAGUGGGGAAUAUUGCGCAAUGGGCGAAAGCCUGACGCAGCCACGCCGCGUGAGCGAUGAAGGUCUUCGGAUCGUAAAGCUCUGUGGGGGGAGAAGAAGAAAGCCGGUGAAGAGCCGGCCCUGACGGUAUCCCCUUAGCAAGCACCGGCUAACUCCGUGCCAGCAGCCGCGGUAAAGUC
rnacentral:rRNA from 1 species